rnacentral:rRNA from 1 species
GACGAACGCUGGCGGCGUGCUUAACACAUGCAAGUCGAACGAAGAGCGAUGGAAGCUUGCUUCUAUCAAUCUUAGUGGCGAACGGGUGAGUAACGCGUAAUCAACCUGCCCUUCAGAGGGGGACAACAGUUGGAAACGACUGCUAAUACCGCAUACGAUCUAAUCUCGGCAUCGAGGAUAGAUGAAAGGUGGCCUCUACAUGUAAGCUAUCACUGAAGGAGGGGAUUGCGUCUGAUUAGCUAGUUGGAGGGGUAACGGCCCACCAAGGCGAUGAUCAGUAGCCGGUCUGAGAGGAUGAACGGCCACAUUGGGACUGAGACACGGCCCAGACUCCUACGGGAGGCAGCAGUGGGGAAUCUUCCGCAAUGGACGAAAGUCUGACGGUGCAACGCCGCGUGAGUGAUGACGGCCUUCGGGUUGUAAAGCUCUGUUAAUCGGGACGAAAGGCCUUCUUGCGAAUAGUGAGAAGGAUUGACGGUACCGGAAUAGAAAGCCACGGCUAACUACGUG